GUAAUGCUUUUGAGAAUAGUGCGCUCCGCGCUUUAUUCUUCAUUUAUUCAUCGCCUAAAUCUAAAUCUCACGCCCAACACCCGAAACCUAACGCUGUUUGAUUUUUCUUCCCUUUAGACAUGCUACUCGAUCUUUAUGUUAGUUCUUGUCAUCCCUAUCCUUAUCGAUCGAGACGUCGGUAUCCCUCCUUCCUCUCCCUCCUAUCUUUCUAACUCGGCUUUUAAAAGAGCUACGCCUAAGGCUCUAUUAGGAGCAGUGACAAUUUAUGCGAACUGAGCCUUUAACCACCAAUUGGUCUCGUUGUCAACUCUAUUUAUCCUCUGCUCGUGCUGAGAAGCCGGAGCCUUCUUCUUCCUCUCUUCAUCAAAGAAAACAAUAACUGUCAAAUUGCAAGAUUUUUAACUCUAUAGACUCUGGAUCAGUAAAAGGAUUUCCAAAUAAUCCCAGAAAGUCCAAGAACAGUUUGUCAAAAGAAUUCAAUCAUUGAUAAAAGCAUCCACAUAGCAUAUGUGAGGGCAAUCAGAUCCGCAAAACACUUCAUAUAUAUUGAGAAUCAGUAUUUUCCAGCUCGCAUCGGUUUCUGCCUCACAACAAGAGGUUUUUGUUAGAAUUUGAUGUCUAAUGUUUUACCUACGUGGCCCGAAGGAGAUACUUGAUGGCAGGGAAUCCAUGAACAAUUCUACUUGCACGAGAGCACUCACGAAUGAUAUACAAGACUUCAACAUCUGCUUUUCCAUCAGUUUAAGUCGACUUCCAUCAGUUUAAAUUUUUUAUUAGUUAUUUGACAUUUACUCUCUUUUGCCCCGGAUAAUUUAUUACUUUUUGCAAAAUUCAUAUUUUCAUCAGUUAUUUCAAUAUUUGUUAAAAUUUUA